GGAUGGUUCAAGUGCAGUGGUGUUCACAACUAACUGAUCAGAACCAGUUACAGGUAUCUUUGUUUCUGUCCACUCCCACUGUUUCACCUGACCCGGUG
rnacentral:Y_RNA from 1 species